rnacentral:rRNA from 1 species
UCCUCCCUCUUUCUUCGUGCUUAACACAUGCAAGUCGAACGGAAAGGCCCUGCUUUUGUGGGGUGCUCGAGUGGCGAACGGGUGAGUAACACGUGAGUAACCUGCCCUUGACUUUGGGAUAACUUCAGGAAACUGGGGCUAAUACCGGAUAGGAGCUCCUGCUGCAUGGUGGGGGUUGGAAAGUUUCGGCGGUUGGGGAUGGACUCGCGGCUUAUCAGCUUGUUGGUGGGGUAGUGGCUUACCAAGGCUUUGACGGGUAGCCGGCCUGAGAGGGUGACCGGCCACAUUGGGACUGAGAUACGGCCCAGACGCCUACGGGAGGCAGCAGGGGGGAAUAUUGCACAAUGGGCGGAAGCCUGAUGCAGCAACGCCGCGUGCGGGAGGACGGCCUUCGGGUUGUAAACCGCUUUCGCAUGUGACGAAGCGUGAGGGACGGGAAUGGGUAAAGAAGCACCGGCGAACUACGU